GUUUUUCGCAAGCCACGUGAAGCAUAGAGGCGAGUUUUGAAGAGAUGGUUCACUUCAAAGACAACACAUCUCCAUCCUCCAAGCGCAAGUAUCUCAUAAUUGAUGCUAAGAAUGGAGGGGUUAUAACCAAGCUAUUGACUUACCCUCCACUAGUUGGUCGAUAUGCAAAUUUGUGGCCACCUCUGCAGAAUUCCCUCCACAUGGUAGAUUGGACUUCAGAGCACAACCAAAAGCCAACCAAAAUGUGGUCCCUUCAGACUCCUUACCAACGAAAACUCAAUAUCGUGAGUACCCUUCCUUGCCUGGGACGGCGUAUGAUUCAAACGGAGAUACGUUGGGGAGAUACUUUGAAAAUUGAUGGUGAAUAUCAUCAUAUCCCGGGAUAUUGGGAAUGGACUGAGGACGUACUUGGAAGAAGUCAACGGGCUUUGGAGACAGCAAGAAUUUGUGAUGUCGUCUAUGUUUCUUUAUUUACAUAUGAUCGAAAUUCAAAUAUCUUACGAGUGUUUCUUGAAGCUUGGUGUCCCACAACAAAUACUUUACUAACAUCAGCCAGAGAACUAUUGAUAUCUCUUUGGGAUUUACAUACAAUUGGCGGUUUACCUAUUGGAGGUUCUCCCUACGAAGAAGUUGUACCCGAAGCUAUCGAACUCACAGGUGUUAAUGAGAAGAAUGAAAGAUUUACUCCUCGAUCUUGUGGAUACCUGUUUACCGCCUUUAACCAUCUUCAACAAGGGGAGAGUCAUGAUCCAAAGGUCUCAUUUAGCAAGUGGAUUGGAUUUUGGUGCAAGAGAGAUUUGAGAUAUAAACCUGCUCCAGAAAAGAGGGAGAAAAAGUUUACCCAUUUGAAGUCAACGCACAACCCCACUGGAGUUAUACCAGAAGUAGUUUCAUAGUCUAGCGCAGAUGAGAUGAUGUUUGCUAAUCUUGGGAUUCGACAUGAAAAGAGAGAAGGCACGUAUCUGGCAGCAUUCUUAUCUUGUUGGUUAUGUGCGUUUGUAUUUCCCUUUCAAAAUGGCAAUUUCAUUCGACCCGAGACCUUUAAAACGGCGAGCAUGAUGGCAUAUGGAUGGAAAUUCAGCCUUUCAAUCCCAGUUAUAGCGAUCAUCUACUAUGGUUUGAACAAGAUCUCCAAGUCCUCGCAUCUCGAGAAUAUCAAAUCUCUUUUCCCAUUCAUUAUGUAUACGGUUGAUUUGCUCACUACUUCAGGACAUACUAUGGACUUCCAAAAGAACAAUAUGUUCUAUUGAUGGUGGCGUAUACUGGGGAAGACGCUGCAAUGUAUUUGGAUGAUACAAAUCCAAGAAAACGCAUCCAUCAAGCGGAUAAUGCAUCUUGGACUUCUACCAUGCUAGAGGCAUCUGAACCCUACUAUUUUGAGGAUAAUGAUAAAGCAUCGGAACUGAAAGUCAAUUAUUUUAUGAGAAUCUAUUUUAAUUAUCUUCCUAUGAGGUGCAGGAACUCUUUCAUUCUUGAACUAUAUAGUCCACAUAGAUUCAGCCGUCAAUUUGGAUUUUAUCAUACCAGCCCUAGUUUUUUGGAAAUGACCUUUGUAGCGCCUCAGUAGAAUAAGGACUCAGCUUUUGGCAAAUUUGUGUGUCACAUAAUUCCACCAACGCGAGGGUGACCUUUCCCCCCGCUAUAUCUACGACAAAAAAAGCUAUUUGCGUCACAGUACAGAUCCUGGUGGACAAGAGUACAUGACAGCUUACGUGAAGAUCAUUUAGAAUCUUUGGUGACUUUUGUUGGGCCAAUCACUGCUACGCCUUUAGAGAUCACGCCUCAAGAGCAUAACAAGGAGGAAAAACCUCAUACUUUGAAAUCUAAAGUGGUUGCACCACUCGACAUCAAGGGAAGCUAAAAAAAGAAGGGACCUUCUCAGGCUCAUCAAGUCCACGAGGGUUCCUUUCUAUUAGGCACCACUAUCCCUACCUCCAACAAAUGCCCAUCCAAAAAUGAGAGUGAUAGUAGUCAUGACGAUCAAAACUUCAAACGGGUGAAGCCAUAUUCAAACAAAUAAGAAGACACUGAUUUGGGUGUAGUAGAAAUUACUGACAGUAUUGGCAGUGCUUCAAGGACUUUGAUGGUCAUUAAAGAGCCAAACGGUGAUUAUAUUUUUAUAGCGUCACACCAAAGCAAAUCAGAGGGUAGUAGUGAAUCUGUGGCGAAUUUGGACUCGAGGAAAUCACUUCUAAUAUCUAAGUCGGACCUAGAGGUGACUUCUAUUACUAAUCUUGGAGCAAAAUUGGGGCCUAAUUUUCACCAACGAUUAGCACCAAUGAUGUCUGUCUUUGACGGAAGAAAGGUUGUCUUGACUAUUCGCAAGGAUUUCAUCUUGAAUGCCUGGGCUAAAAUUCACACCAAACUCUCUGACCUUACUGCAGACAAUGCUUCUUCUGUUCAAUUCGAGAUCCAAGUGAUUCUCGAGGAGAUGGAUGGAAAGGGUGUGGAUAUUUCUCCUCUAAAAAACCUAUUGAUGUCUUUCUUUAAGCUUUCCACUUCAUAUGACCAGGCACAAUCAGCUCUUUCUGAUAUGGUUGUGGACGUUGAAAAAUCAGAGGCAUUUUUAAAAGCCAAGGAACAUCUUGAUCUUGUCUUGACUGAAAAAGGGGAGAAGGUUGAGGAACUGUCUCUCACCAGUCAAUCUCUCAAAGAGGCCAAGGAGAAGGUGAAACAAUUAAGAGCUAUCCGAGUGCUACCAAGAAAGAGGUUGAAGAGAUUGAAUCAAGAGUCUCAUCUGCUGAAGAGGAGUACCGUAGUUGUUCUGACGUUUCCUUGGUGACUUCUGAUGAUUUGGCUGAUGUGGAGACGAAGAAAAAACACUUAGAGGUCAUCCUUAAAGACUUGGUCAAUUAUAAGUUGUAUUUAGAUUAACCUAUAUAGAGUAUUUUAUUUGCUUUUUUUUUUUGCAUUUGGUUAACUAGCGACUAUUCAUGGAAAUGAAAACUCCAUAUGUUUUACUUUAUAUUGCGUGUUUUUAUUGAUG